ensembl:rRNA 5S_rRNA 5S ribosomal RNA
GUCUAUAGCCAUGCUACCCUGAACACACCAGAUCCCGUCUGAUCUCAGAAGCUAAGCAGGAUCCGGCCUGGUUAGUAUCUGGAUGGGAGAUCCCCCUAGGAAGAGCAGAUGCUGUAGGCA